rnacentral:rRNA from 1 species
UACGUAGGGUGCAAGCGUUAAUCGGAAUUACUGGGCGUAAAGCGUGCGCAGGCGGUUCUAUAAGACAGAUGUGAAAUCCCCGGGCUUAACCUGGGAAUGGCGAUGGAGACUGCAAGGCUAGAGUUUGGCAGAGGGGGGUAGAAUUCCACGUGUAGCAGUGAAAUGCGUAGAGAUGUGGAGGAACACCGAUGGCGAAGGCAGCCCCCUGGGUCAAAACUGACGCUCAUGCACGAAAGCGUGGGGAGCAAACAGG